rnacentral:rRNA from 1 species
CAGCAGCCGCGGUAAUACAGAAGAUGCUAGCGUUAUCCGGAAUGAUUGGGCGUAAAGGGUGCGUAGGCGGGUCUUUAAGUCAGGGGUGAAAUCCUGGAGCUCAACUCCAGAACUGCCUUUGAUACUGAAGAUCUUGAGUUCGGGAGAGGUGAGUGGAACUGCGAGUGUAGAGGUGAAAUUCGUAGAUAUUCGCAAGAACACCAGUGGCGAAGGCGGCUCACUGGCCCGAUACUGACGCUGAGGCACGAAAGCGUGGGGAGCAAACAGGAUUAGAUACCCCUGUAGUCCCUGUCUUUAUACA